rnacentral:tRNA from 1 species
GGGCGGGUAGCUUAGUCUGGUUGGAGCACUCCGCUGAUAACGGAGAGGUCGGCGGUUCAAAUCCGCCCCUGCCCA